AUUGAACGCUGGCGGAAGGCCUAACACAUGCAAGUCGAACGAGUGGCGGACGGGUGAGUAAUGUCUGGGAAACUGCCCGAUGGAGGGGGAUAACUACUGGAAAAGGUAGCUAAUACCGCAUACCAUCGGAUGUGCCCAGAUGGGAUUAGCUAGUAGGUGGGGUAACGGCUCACCUAGGCGACGAUUCCUAGCUGGUCUGAGAGGAUGACCAGCCACACUGGAACUGAGACUCGGUCCAUACUCCUACGGGAUGCAGCAGUGGUGAAUCUUGCACAGUGGUCGCAUGCCUGAUUCAGCCAUGCCGCGUGUAUGAAGAAGGCCUGCGGGUUGUAAAGCACUUUCAGCGAGGAGGCGUUACUCGCAGAAUAAGCACCGGCUAACUCCAUGCCAGCAGCCGCGGUAAUUC
rnacentral:rRNA from 1 species